rnacentral:rRNA from 1 species
AUUGAACGCUGGCGGCAGGCCUAACACAUGCAAGUCGAGCGGAUGAAGGGAGCUUGCUCCUGUAUUCAGCGGCGGACGGGUGAGUAAUGCCUAGGAAUCUGCCUGGUAGUGGGGGAUAACGUCCGGAAACGGGCGCUAAUACCGCAUACGUCCUGAGUGAGAAAGUGGGGGUUCUUCGGACCUCACGCUAUCAGCUGAGCCUAGGUCGGAUUAGCUAGUUGGUGGGGUAAAGGCCUACCAAGGCGACGAUCCGUAACUGGUCUGAGAGGAUGAUCAGUCACACUGGAACUGAGACACGGUCCAGACUCCUACGGGAGGCAGCAGUGGGGAAUAUUGGACAAUGGGCGAAAGCCUGAUCCAGCCAUGCCGCGUGUGUGAAGAAGGUCUUCGGAUUGUAAAGCACUUUAAGUUGGGAGGAAGGGAAGUAAGUUAAUACCUUGCUGUUUUGACGUUACCAACAGAAUAAGCACCGGCUAACUUCGUG